rnacentral:rRNA from 1 species
AGAAUCAACGCUGGCGGCGUGCCUAACACAUGCAAGUCGAACGCGAAAGCCCCGCAAGGGGCAAGUAGAGUGGCAAACGGGUGAGUAACACGUGGGUGACCUGCCUUCGAGUGGGGGAUAACGUCCCGAAAGGGACGCUAAUACCGCAUGACAUCCUGCCUUUGGACAGGCGGAGAUCAAAGCUGGGGAUCGCAAGACCUGGCGCUUGAAGAGGGGCCCGCGCCUGAUUAGCUAGUUGGUGAGGUAACGGCUCACCAAGGCUACGAUC